rnacentral:rRNA from 1 species
CAGCAGCCGCGGUAAUACCAGCUCUCCGAGUGGUAGGGACGAUUAUUGGGCUUAAAGCGUCCGUAGCCGGCCUGGCAAGUCUUCCGUUAAAUCCAACGAUUCAAUCGUUGGACUGCGGGAGAUACUGUCAGGCUAGGGGGCGGGAGAGGCCGACGGUAUUCCCGGGGUAGGGGUAAAAUCCUAUAAUCCCGGGAAGACCACCAGUGGCGAAGGCUGUCGGCUAGAACGCGCCCGACGGUGAGGGAUGAAAGCUGGGGGAGCGAACCGGAUUAGAUACCCGGGUAGUCCCAGCUGUAAACGAUGCAGGCUAGGUGUUAGAACGGCCACGAGCCGUUCUAGUGCCGCAGGGAAGCCGUUAAGCCUGCCGCCUGGGGAGUACGGCCGCAAGGCUGAAACUUAAAGGAAUUGGCGGGGGAGCACCACAAGGGGUGAAGCUUGCGGUUUAAUUGGAGUCAACGCCGGAAACCUCACCGGGGGCGACAGCAGGGUGAAGGCCAGAUUGAAGGUCUUGCCAGACAAGCUGAGAGGAGGUGCAUGGCCGUCGCCAGUUCGUGCCGUGAGGUGUCCUGUUAAGUCAGGCAACGAUCGAGACCCACGCCCCCUGUUGCCACCGAGGAGGUUUCUCCAAGGGGCACUCUGGGGGGACUGCCGUCGAUAAGGCGGAGGAAGGAGUGGGCCACGGCAGGUCAGUAUGCCCCGAAUCCCCCGGGCCACACGCGAGCUGCAAUGGCUGGGACAGUGGGUUCCGACCUCGAGAGGGGGAGGUAAUCCCUAAACCCAGCCGUAGUUGGGAUCGAGGGCUGAAACUCGCCCUCGUGAACAUGGAAUCCCUAGUAAUCGCGCGUCAUCAUCGCGCGGUGAAUACGUCCCCGCUCCUUGCACACACCGCCCG